rnacentral:rRNA from 1 species
UUCACUAGUAGAUGGACCUGCGUUGUAUUAGCUAGUUGGUGAGGUAACGGCUCACCAAGGCGACGAUACAUAGCCGACCUGAGAGGGUGAUCGGCCACACUGGGACUGAGACACGGCCCAGACUCCUACGGGAGGCAGCAGUAGGGAAUCUUCGGCAAUGGGGGCAACCCUGACCGAGCAACGCCGCGUGAGUGAAGAAGGUUUUCGGAUCGUAAAGCUCUGUUGUAAGAGAAGAACGUGUGUGAGAGUGGAAAGUUCACACAGUGACGGUAACUUACCAGAAAGGGACGGCUAACUACGUGCCAGCAGCCGCGGUAAUACGUAGGUCCCGAGCGUUGUCCGGAUUUAUUGGGCGUAAAGCGAGCGCAGGCGGUUUAAUAAGUCUGAAGUUAAAGGCAGUGGCUUAACCAUUGUUCGCUUUGGAAACUGUUAGACUUGAGUGCAGAAGGGGAGAGUGGAAUUCCAUGUGUAGCGGUGAAAUGCGUAGAUAUAUGGAGGAACACCGGUGGCGAAAGCGGCUCUCUGGUCUGUAACUGACGCUGAGGCUCGAAAGCGUGGGGAGCAAACAGGAUUAGAUACCCUGGUAGUCCACGCCGUAAACGAUGAGUGCUAGGUGUUAGGCCCUUUCCGGGGCUUAGUGCCGCAGCUAACGCAUUAAGCACUCCGCCUGGGGAGUACGACCGCAAGGUUGAAACUCAAAGGAAUUGACGGGGGCCCGCACAAGCGGUGGAGCAUGU